GUCCUUUAGAAUAAUAAUUUAAGGUCUGACCUGCCCACUGAAGUAUUUUAAAUGGCCGCAGUAAAUUGACUGUGCAAAGGUAGCAUAAUCAUUAGUUUUUUAAUUAAAAGCUUGUAUGAAUGGUUUGACGAAAUAAAAUCUGUCUCUAAAUAAUAAUAAGAAUUUAAUUUUUAAGUUAAAAAGCUUAAAUAAUAUUAAAAGACGAGAAGACCCUAUAGAUCUUUAUAUAAUAUUUUAUAUUUUUAUUUAAGAUUUUUAUAUUUAUUAUAUUAUUUUAUAUUUUAUUGGGGUAAUAAAAAGAUUAAUUAAAUUCUUUUUAAAUUUAUACAAAAAUUAUUGUUUAUAUGAUCCUUUAUUAAAGAUAAUAAGAUUAAGUUACCUUAGGGAUAACAGCGUAAUUUUUUUGGAGAGUUCAUAUCGAUAAAAAAGUUUGCGACCUCGAUGUUGGAUUAAAAAUUAUUCUAGGUGUAGUAGUUUAGAAAUUUUGGUCUGUUCGACCAUUAAAUUUUU
rnacentral:rRNA from 1 species